rnacentral:rRNA from 1 species
GACGAACGCUGGCGGCGUGCCUAAUACAUGCAAGUAGAACGCUGAAGGAGGAGCUUGCUUCUCUGGAUGAGUUGCGAACGGGUGAGUAACGCGUAGGUAACCUGCCUGGUAGCGGGGGAUAACUAUUGGAAACGAUAGCUAAUACCGCAUAAGAGUAGAUGUUGCAUGACAUUUGCUUAAAAGGUGCAAUUGCAUCACUACCAGAUGGACCUGCGUUGUAUUAGCUAGUUGGUGGGGUAACGGCUCACCAAGGCGACGAUACAUAGCCGACCUGAGAGGGUGAUCGGCCACACUGGGACUGAGACACGGCCCAGACUCCUACGGGAGGCAGCAGUAGGGAAUCUUCGGCAAUGGACGGAAGUCUGACCGAGCAACGCCGCGUGAGUGAAGAAGGUUUUCGGAUCGUAAAGCUCUGUUGUAAGGGAAGAACGAGUGUGAGAGUGGAAAGUUCACACUGUGACGGUAUCUUACCAGAAAGGGACGGCUAACUACGUG